UUAAAGAUAAAAUUAAUUUUAAAGUAUCACAACAAAUAUAAUAUUUUAGUAAAUUAAUAAUUUUCUUUAAUCACAACAACCAUUAAUAUGUUUGUCCUGCCAUUAAUCUCUUUGUCCCACCAUUUCAUCACCUUCUGCCCAACUCCAAACACAGGUAAUUAGUUAAUUUCUCCGCAAUUUUUUUCACAAAUAGUGGUGAUGUAUGUGUGUUUUUUUGUGCCUUUGAUUUGAUUAUUUAUCUACUUAAGGGUUUCUAUGAUUCCGUUCUUUUGUUAUAUUUAUUGCAGCACAAUAUGUACACACGCAAUUUUUGUGUUGUUUUGGUUUUGUUUAGUCAUUGACUUGGGCAGUGAUAGCGUACACCAUGUGUUUGAGAAAUCUACUGUGUGAAGUGGUUGGUAUUUUAGUGCAGUAAUAGUGUGCACAAAUGAGUACAAAGUCAUCUUAGAUUGAAUAUGCUAUUAAUCAUUAUGUAGAAGAAAUAUAAAUAGAAGUGUAUUAAUUUAGGGUAAUGUGUUGUGUAUACGCUUGCUGGCUAUGUGUUAAAAAUUAAUGGUGAAUAGCUUCUAGAAUACAACAAAAAAAAACUUGGGUAAAGAAGAGUUUGUUCUUUGAGACUUUGCAGCUGUAAAGUGCUUUUGUGCAUUGAUUUCCUAAUGUGAUAGUUCCCAAAUUUGGCAAUUGGUCGUGUGGGGAAGGAUGAGUAUUUGUGAUGCUUAAAGGAGCAUCCUAGCAAUGCAAAAUUGAUACCUAGUUUUUUUUUCAGUUGUUUAACUUUCAGGUCAUGUCAGUCACUUCAUUUCUGGAAGAAUCAUGCCUCUGUCCAUGUUGAUCUUUGAUGUUUCAUGCAUCAAAAGAUUCGAAAGUUUCACGCAUCAAUAUACUUGCUAGUCCGGGUGGAGCAGAAGCGUUUGAAUUAGUUGCAAAGUUCUGUUAUGGUGAAAAUGUUGAGAUUACAUUAUCAAAUAUUACUAAACUUGUAACUUGUAUGGUUAACUUAUACUUUUAUAUAAUAUAUGGUAUUUUUAUU